GCGCCGGCGCGGUUCCUCCGCCACCUCCCGCGGUGCUGGGAGCCGCGGCCUUGCGUGACCCCGCUGGGGCAGGCCGGCUCCCUCCCGCCUCGCUCCCCAGGGUGCAGGGCCCCGCCGGCCGGUUGCCUGGUGGGGACCGUGGGCUGACGGCGCCUCCGGGGCAGCUGUGGCAGAGCCAUUUUGUUUCGCCACCUCAGAGAGCGCGGGGUGCAGAGAGCCGCCGGAGUUCCACCAUCUCUGCAGAGUUCCAGCCUGUGCCCUUCUUCAUUAUAACAGGAUUUCAAACACAAAUACGUAUAGAAAAGACUGGUUUUGUUUUAAGGUGUUCUUUGAGCAGUAUGAAAAGCAAGCAGCAUUCCAAACAUACCGAAUGAUCCUCAGGAGUGAAAUUAAACGAUGACUACAAUUAAGAUGUUCUAGGUUAUUAUAACACAUGGUGCCAAGAAGUAAAUGACAGUGCUUAUGUUUGCCUCCUUAGCUGCUUGUGUGUCUUCACCAAUCCUUUUCAAGGCCAGGAUUUGCUCUACUUUCCCUUUAAGUUCUGAAAGCCAAAUAAAUAGCAAAACUGCUCCGUGACAUGGA